ACAUUCAAGCAUCGCAUUUUCUCUUUCUAUGUAAACCUUAAGCUCUUUCAUUUUACGUACACUCUCGUUUUCGAUCCUUAUAUACUUUUGAAAUAGCAGCAAUAUGCUACUAUCCCUUUUAAAGAGCAACUAUCAGCUGAAGAACGAUUGAUAUAUACAUGAAUCGUUGUACAAAACGCCAGGACUUGUUUUCGACACAAGGAUAGCAUCGAAUAACGGAACAGACGUCGCAAAUAGACAAGUUCGCCUGCUAUCGUGGACUUCCCAACAACAAAGCUGGCGACCGCAAAGUGGAAGACUUUCUAUGUUGCCUAACGAUAGAUCGCGUUCCCUCUAUUCUCGAGAGUUCAGUCUAGUUUUCCUUUUUUUCCUUUCUUUCUUUAUUAUAUAAGGUCAACUACCUCUAAAAACGAAGAAAGCCAUCCGUUGACUAACUAUAUAGGAACCUAUUUAACCCGUUUAUCGACUCGAUGGAACUUUUCUUAUUAUUCUCUUAGAUUUAUUUUGAAA